rnacentral:rRNA from 1 species
AUUGAACGCUGGCGGCAUGCCUUACACAUGCAAGUCGAACGGCAGCACGGGUGCUUGCACCUGGUGGCGAGUGGCGAACGGGUGAGUAAUACAUCGGAACGAACCUUAUCGUGGGGGAUAACGCAGCGAAAGUUGCGCUAAUACCGCAUACGCCCUGAGGGGGAAAGCGGGGGACCGUAAGGCCUCGCGCGAUUAGAGCGGCCGAUGUCUGAUUAGCUUGUUGGGGAGGUAAAAGCUCACCAAGGCGAUGAUUAGUAGCUGGGCUGAGAGGACGAUCAGCCACACUGGAACUGAGAAACGGACCAGACUCCUACAGGAGGCAGCAGUGGGGAAUUUUGGACAAUGGUAUCAACCCUGAUCCAGCAAUGCCGCGUGAGUGAAGAAGGCCUUCGGGUUGUAAAGCUCUUUUGUCAGGGAAGAAACAGCAGCUCUAACACAGUCUGCGAAUGACGGUACCUGAAGAAUAAGCACCGGCUAACUACGUGCCAGCCGCCGCAGUAA